ensembl:snRNA U6 U6 spliceosomal RNA
GUGCUCGCUUUGGCAGCAGAUAGACUACAACCGGAAGGAUACAGAGAAGAUUAGCACGGCCCCUGCACAAGAACGACAUGCAAAUUCGUGAAGAAUUCCAUAUUUUU